UACGUAGGGGGCAAGCGUUGUCCGGAAUCAUUGGGCGUAAAGCGCGUGUAGGCGGCUAGAUAAGUCUGCUCUGAAAGCCCGGGGCUCAACCCCGGGAGGCGGGUGGAUACUGUCUAGCUCGAGUCCGGAAGAGGAGUGUGGAAUUCCUGGUGUAGCGGUGAAAUGCGCAGAUAUCAGGAGGAACACCCGUGGCGAAGGCGGCUCUCUGGGACGGUACUGACGCUGAGACGCGAAAGCGUGGGGAGCGAACAGG
rnacentral:rRNA from 1 species